GGAUUAGAUACCCUGGUAGUCCACGCCCUAAACGAUGCGAACUGGAUGUUGGGUGCAACUUGGCACCCAGUAUCGAAGCUAACGCGUUAAGUUCGCCGCCUGGGGAGUACGGUCGCAAGACUGAAACUCAAAGGAAUUGACGGGGGCCCGCACAAGCGGUGGAGUAUGUGGUUUAAUUCGAUGCAACGCGAAGAACCUUACCUGGUCUUGACAUCCACGGAACUUUCCAGAGAUGGAUUGGUGCCUUCGGGAACCGUGAGACAGGUGCUGCAUGGCUGUCGUCAGCUCGUGUUG
rnacentral:rRNA from 1 species